UACAGAGGUGGCGAGCGUUGUUCGGAUUUACUGGGCGUAAAGGGUGCGUAGGCGGUUCCGCGUGUCGGAUGUGAAAUCUGGAGGCUCACCCUUCAGGCGGCAUUCGAAACUGCGGGGCUAGAGGGCAGGAGAGGAGAGCGGAAUUCUUGGUGUAGCGGUGAAAUGCGUUGAUAUCAAGAAGAACACCGGUGGCGAAGGCGGCUCUCUGGAAUGCUUCUGACGCUGAGGCACGAAAGUUGGGGGAGCAAACAGG
rnacentral:rRNA from 1 species